AGGACGAACGCUGGCGGCGUGCUUCAUACAUGCAAGUCGAGCGGAAAGGCCCUUCGGGGUACUCGAGCGGCGAACGGGUGAGUAACGCGUGAGCAACCUGCCCUUGGCUCUGGGAUAACCCCUCGAAAAGAGGUGCUAAUACCGGAUACGACUUCCUUCGACAUCGUCGGAAGUGGAAAGUUUUUUCGGCCAAGGAUGGGCUCGCGGCCUAUCAGCUUGUUGGUGAGGGUAACGGCCCACCAAGGCUUCGACGGGUAGCC
rnacentral:rRNA from 1 species